GGGGAUGGGGACAGUGGUUCAGUGGUAGAGCAUUUUCUUGGAAUUCAGAAGGCGCCAGGUUCAAUUCCUGAUAUCUCCA
rnacentral:tRNA from 1 species